rnacentral:rRNA from 1 species
UAAUACGGGGGGGGCAAGCGUUGUCCGGAAUUAUUGGGCGUAAAGGGCGCGUAGGUGGGACAGCAAGUCUGGGGUGCAAUCUUACGGCUUAACUGUAAGCUUGCCCUGGAUACUACUGUUCUUGAGUUCGGAAGAGGGUAGUGGAAUUCCUGGUGUAGCGGUGAAAUGCGUAGAUAUCAGGAAGAACACCGGUGGCGAAGGCGGCUACCUGGUCCGAUACUGACACUGAGGCGCGAAAGUGCGGGGAGCAAACAGG